rnacentral:rRNA from 1 species
GACGAACGCUGGCGGCGUGCUUAACACAUGCAAGUCGAACGGAAAGGCCCUGCUUGCAGGGUACUCGAGUGGCGAACGGGUGAGUAACACGUGGGUGAUCUGCCCUGCACUUCGGGAUAAGCCUGGGAAACUGGGUCUAAUACCGGAUAGGAGCCAUUUUUAGUGUGAUGGUUGGAAAGUUUUUUCGGUGUAGGAUGAGCUCGCGGCCUAUCAGCUUGUUGGUGGGGUAAUGGCCUACCAAGGCGGCGACGGGUAGCCGGCCUGAGGGGGUGGACGGCCACAUUGGGGCUGCGAUACGGCCCAGACUCCUACGGGAGGCAGCAGUGGGGAAUAUUGCACAAUGGGCGCCAGCCUGAUGCAGCGACGCCGCGUGGGGGAUGACGGCCUUCGGGUUGUAAACUCCUUUCGCUAGGGACGAAGCUUUUUGUGACGGUACCUAGAUAAGAAGCACCGGCUAACUACGUG